CAGGCGGUAGGUCAGUGGUAGAGCUCCAGUUUUGUAUGCGGGAAGACCUGGGUUUCGAUUCCCGGCCGCUUAU
rnacentral:tRNA from 1 species